AGUGAACGCUGGCGGUAGGCCUAACACAUGCAAGUCGAACGGCAGCACAGUAAGAGCUUGCUCUUACGGGUGGCGAGUGGCGGACGGGUGAGGAAUACAUCGGAAUCUACUUUUUCGUGGGGGAUAACGUAGGGAAACUUACGCUAAUACCGCAUACGACCUACGGGUGAAAGCAGGGGAUCUUCGGACCUUGCGCGAUUGACUGAGCCGAUGUCGGAUUAGCUAGUUGGCGGGGUAAAGGCCCACCAAGGCGACGAUCCGUAGCUGGUCUGAGAGGAUGAUCAGCCACACUGGGACUGAGACACGGUCCAGACUCCUACGGGAGGCAGCAGUGGGGAAUAUUGGACAAUGGGCGCAAGCCUGAUCCAGCCAUACCGCGUGGGUGAAGAAGGCCUUCGGGUUGUAAAGCCCUUUUGUUGGGAAAGAAAAGCAGCAGGUUAAUACCCCGCUGUUCUGACGGUACCCAAAGAAUAAGCACCGGCUAACUUCGUG
rnacentral:rRNA from 1 species